AGCUUAAUGCAUUAUACAUUAAGUUAGCUCUGCUCAAUGAUUAUUUAAAUAGCCGCAGUACUUUAACUGUGCAAAGGUAGCAUAAUAAUUUGGCUUUUAAUUGAAGUCUGGAAUGAAUGAGUAUAUGGAUAUUAACUGUCUUAUUAAAAUUUUUAAUAACUUUUUUAUUAAGUGAAAAUACUUAAAUUUGAUAUAAUAGACGAGAAGACCCUAGAAACUUUUAUAAAAACGUUUCUUUUUUAUUUUUGUUGGGGCAACAAAAUUUCAUUUUAUAAUUGAUUUUUAUUAUUAUUUAUAUAUGUAUAAUAUAUUAAGAAGAAUUAUGUUACUCUAGGGAUAACAGCAUAAUUUUAAUAAGAAGUUUGUGACCUCGAUGUUGGAUUAAGAAUAAUUUAGACUAGAAGUUUAAAUUUUAGGUUCUGUUCGAACUAAUUUUCUUACAUG
rnacentral:rRNA from 1 species